rnacentral:rRNA from 1 species
CGGAACGUGCCCAGUAGCGGGGGAUAACUACGCGAAAGCGUAGCUAAUACCGCAUACGCCCUACGGGGGAAAGGGGGGGAUCGUAAGACCUCUCACUAUUGGAGCGGCCGAUAUCGGAUUAGCUAGUUGGUGAGGUAAAGGCUCACCAAGGCGACGAUCCGUAGCUGGUUUGAGAGGACGACCAGCCACACUGGGACUGAGACACGGCCCAGACUCCUACGGGAGGCAGCAGUGGGGAAUUUUGGACAAUGGGGGAAACCCUGAUCCAGCCAUUCCGCGUGUGCGAUGAAGGCCUUCGGGUUGUAAAGCACUUUUGGCGGGAAAGAAAUCGGUCGGGCUAAUACCCUGACCGGAUGACGGUACCCGCAGAAUAAGCACCGGCUAACUACGUGCCAGCAGCCGCGGUAAUACGUAGGGUGCAAGCGUUAAUUGGAAUUACUGGGCGUAAAGCGUGCGCAGGCGGUUCGGAAAGAAAGAUGUGAAAUCCCAGGGCUCAACCUUGGAACUGCAUUUUUAACUACCGGGCUAGAGUGUGUCAGAGGGAGGUGGAAUUCCGCGU